CCUAAGAGCUGCGGACACGUAAACACUUCUAUUCUUUACAGAAAAUGUAUAAAGCAAAAUUAGCCUUGAUUUUCAAAAUUGGGAUUUUUUUUAUUUUCAGGAGGACCGUUUGUUAAUUAUUACAAGUGUCUGAUCCACUACGAGAAGUGAGAACUGUCCGACUUGACAGCUCUUAUUUCACUCCUCCCCUGAAUGCAGCCGCCUACUCUCAUCUACUUUCAAGGCGAGGCGUUUGGCACCUCGAACAAGCCUAAUUUUGAUACCUGAGUUUCUAAGUUGGUAUGAGACAAACUUUCAACAUGGCGGAAGAGAGUACAGAUUCUGUGUGGUGAGAAUUGUCCAGGAGGUAACCGAUGACAAGACACUCCCAAAAGAAGAGAGAAAGCACUUACAAGUGGAACAUACACCACACCGCAGCCAACAGGCCAAGCUGGUGAAACUAGCUGACAAGUUGUAUAUUUACAGGACCUCAAUCGUGGCACCAACACAGAUGAGAUAGUCGUACUGUUUGAGAAAUUUGUGUAAGUAUGAGUACAUUUCCAAUCUGUAGUAGUUUUACUGCUUGAGUGAGGAUCAUGUCUACUAUCUUUGUUGACAGGUUGGACAACAGAAAGGGUUCAAGAAUACUUUGUAUAGGCAUCUCAAGUGGUAAAAGGGCUUGAUGGCACCAACGCAGCGCUUGAGAAGAAACUGCAGCAGCUCCUUUUAGAAAGAGGAGUGCAGAUAUGAUGGUGCUUUUAUGAUGUAAUUGAUCAUCAAUCAUGGAAUUCUCCUUGCCACAACAAAGAUUUUGAGGUGUGUGUGUGUGUGUGUGUGUGUGUGUGUGUGUGUGUGUGUGUGUGUGUGUGUGUGUGUGUCUUUCACUUUUUCUUCUCUGUUAUAUAAUAAUGUACAAAGACA